GAGGAAAGCUGAGAGGAAAACAGUUUCAAAGUUGUUCCAAGUGGUAACAGAAGAUCGAGCAACUUCCCACCAAUCGCGUGCCGUGCCGUAUAGAACAGUGCGGAAGGUAGCCAAGAUGUCAGUGUCAGCCAGGGGAUGUAAGACCAAAAAGUCUUGACAGCGAGUUAAAUAUAACAGUGGAUCAGUGUCGUCUGAUGGUCUUCCAAAUGUUGAGAAAGUUAACUUCAAAUGAUCACUUUUAACAGCUGGUCUAGGUUGCUGGAUGGAUGCAGCCUCUGAUGGUGGAGAUGAAGAUGGGUCUGUGUGGUGAACUGGUAAUGGAGCUGGGCAUACAGUUGAGUGGUACAAUGACUGAUCUCUUUGGAAAGCUGUUCACCGUCCUUUUGUGAGUUUUCCUGUGUGGCCUGCAUGUCUCUCUGCAAUUCCCGCUGGACUUGCUCCACCAUAAAGCGAACCUCUGAGAUUAAGCUAUCGUGUCCAAGAUUUGCUGAUGGUUAAUUUCAAUUUUUGCGGCCAUUGCUGCAAGCUUUGCAUCAUGCAGGGAAAUGGAUUUUGCAGAUUCUUGGGUGUGGGAAGGUGGCCUGGCAGGCGAUGCUGUGACACUGAGGAAGGUGAUGAAGUUUCAGUGGAGGUGCAAAGUUGCAUAGGGUCCGGUUGGAAUGAGACAACGCCCCCUGGAGGUGCGGAGGCAAAGUGCACCUGAGUCCUGGGAUGGGGACUACUGAACUGAGUGGGCGUGAAGUGGAACGUGGGAACAUGAGGGGGAGGAACUGGUCCUGGAUGCACAAGUGGCCAGACCGGAGUUGCUAUGUCUGGGGGUGCAGGUGGCCAAGAGGGAGUUGCUACGUCUAGGGGUUCAAUUUC